rnacentral:lncRNA from 1 species
GCAAGCUACUGCUCACUUAUGAUACCCCCGCCGCAAGUGGAUAAUAUUAAUAGUGUAAAAAUAUGCAAGUGUUCGGUAAACAGGAAGUUGUCGAGUGAUGAAUCUGAAAACACAUCACACGGUAUAGCUGACUUAUAUAAAUCCUGAAACCAAAUUUCAGAAAUCCUUGUAUUGUAGUUCCUGAGAAAAAUGUGACGAAAAUUUUCAACUUGGCUAUCAUGUGUAAAAUCAUACAAGUGUUCGGUAAACAGGAAGUUGUCAAGUGAUCAAUCUGAAAACGCAUCACACGGUAUAGCUGACU